CAACCAGCUUUCUAAACGAACACUGGGUGCUGCCCCUUUGGUUAGGGGAUAAGAUGUCUAGGGGGCAAAGUACCCCUUUAAAAGUAACUCUAUGGCUAGCUAUGUUUUAUUUGUUUUUAAGAUUUCUAGGGUGUGGAUUUUUGUUUCUGUUCAUUUAUUGCAUCAUUAAACACUAUACAAUGUCUACCACAUACCUUGCCAAAAAUCAUUUGGAAAUUAGGACAGAAAGACAAAGAAAUAGACAAUAGAAGUAAAAGCAAUGAAAACGCUAAGAGCAGGGUGCAGUCGUUGCUGAGUCUGUUCCUGGGAAAGUCCUUUCCCUCUAGCUGUGUAAACAGGAAAGGAUGUAACAGUGUAAGAAUGCAGUCCCAGACUCACACAAACAUUUACUGGGUACAGUCUGUACAUCGGAUGCCAACUUCUCGAACCACUUCAGAGCUCCUCGUCAUGUCAAGGAGUCAACAACGUGUGCCAAGGUGAAAGUAUACUCCGAUUUAUUGGAAAAAAAGAACACAGAAGAGAGUUUAUAUUUAGGUACCAAGUCCUUCUAAUGACUCAGAGUCUAAAGGCGAAUUUAACUCCUACACCGCUACUGAGCUACUUCAGUACAGCUACAACUUUCAGUCGGAUCUGGCCGUUCUCCUGACAAGUCUACUCUUAUAAAUGUUUGUAUUCCGCAAGAAAGAACGCUCGCUGCCUUGAUCCUGUUCCUCUAUCACUCCUGUAAAUAUGUUCUUCUUAGUAUGCCGGAAGACAGGAAAUGAAAACAUACUGUACUGGAUAAAACCUAAGAGACACACCGAUGGCAAACCCCGGACCACUGCUGUAGGCCCUCAUAUGGACAUGGAUGAUCAAGGAUGGAGAAUCAAUGGAGAGUAUAAACCCUUUUUUGAAUUUUUAAACACCCCAGCAAGAGUAAAAAAAAAAAUCCACAUUACAGUAAAAUAGGAAAUGCAAGAAUGGGACAAUAUUAAAUUAUAUUCAAGUUAAAAUAUGAACAGUCUGGGCUCAUUUGAGAACUGGGGAGAAAACUGGUUGUACCGAAAAACGGAACCGAUGGAGUUCACCUGUUCAUCGUGCUUCCCUGCAGGUAACAGUGAUUUUAUUGAAGGUCAGAGUUAGACCCUUUACCACCUAAGUCUCAAUUCUAAGUAAACAUUUCUCUAACACAGUGUUUUACAACUAAUGUGCCUCCAGCUGUUGCAAAACUACAACUCUCAGCAUGCCCGGACAGCCUUUGGUUGCAGUUUUGCAGCAGCUGGAGACGCACUGGUUGGGAAACACUG